GACGAACGCUGGCGGCGUGCCUAAUACAUGCAAGUCGAACGCAGUGGGGACGGGUGAGUAACACGUGGGUAACCUCCCAUCAGAGGGGAUAAACCUUGGCAACAGGUGCUAAACCGAUACUGAUGGAUGGACCCGCGGUGCAUUAGCUUGUUGGUGGGGUAACGGCCCACCAAGGCCAAGAUGCAUAGCCGACCUGAGAGGGUGACCGGCCAAACUGGGACUGAGACACGGUCCAGACUCCUACGGGAGGCAGCAGUAGGGAAUAUUCGGCAAUGGGCGAAAGUCUGAUGGAGCAAUGCCGCGUGAGUGAAGAAGGUUUUCGGGUCGUAAAGCUCUGUUAUUAGGGAAGCGGUAUCUAACCAGAAAGCAACGGCUAACUACGUGCCAGCAGCCGCGGUAAUUC
rnacentral:rRNA from 1 species